CAGCAGCCGCGGGAAAACGAAGGGUGCAAGCGUUACCCGGAAUUACUGGGCGUAAAGCGUGCGUAGGUGGUGGUUUAAGUCCGUUGUGAAAGCCCUGGGCUCAACCUGGGAAUUGCAGUGGAUACUGGGUCACUAGAGUGUGGUAGAGGAUAGUGGAAUUUCCGGUGUAGCAGUGAAAUGCGUAGAGAUCGGAAGGAACAUCUGUGGCGAAGGCGACUAUCUGGGCCAACACUGACACUGAGGCACGAAAGCGUGGGGAGCAAACAGGAUUAGAGACCCGCGUAGUCCCUGUCUCUUAUAC
rnacentral:rRNA from 1 species